AGGAUAAACGCUGGCGGCGUGCCUAACACAUGCAAGUCGAACGUCUCUUCUUUCGGGAAGAGGAGUGGCGGACGGGUGAGGAACACGUGGGAACCUGCCCUUUAGUGAGGAAUACCGGCGAGAAAUCGCCGACAAGACCGCAUAGCCCUCUUUGAUGAGAGUCAAAGAAGGAAAGCUUCGCAAGAGGCGCUAGAGGAGGGGCCUGCGUCCGAUUAGCUAGUUGGUGGGGUAAGAGCCUACCAAGGCGUCGAUCGGUAGCUGGUCUGAGAGGACGAUCAGCCACACUGGGAUUGAGAACGGCCCAGACUCCUACGGGGGGCAGCAGUGAGGAAUUUUCGUCAAUGGGGGCAACCCUGAACGAGCAACGCCGCGUGCAGGAAGAAGGUUUUCGGAUCGUAAACUGCUUUUCUCGGGGAAGAGAACGGACGGUACCCGAGGAAUCAGCCCCGGCUAACUACGUGCCAGCAGCCGC
rnacentral:rRNA from 1 species